rnacentral:rRNA from 1 species
UUGGCGGAAUGGUUUUAAUCGGCCCGUCUAGUAACACGGACCAAGGAGUCUAACAUGUGUGCGAGUCGGUGGGUGACAAACCCACGAGGCGCAAGUAACCUGACUGAGCAACAUCGACCGACCAUGAACUUUUGUGAAAGGUUUGAGUGCGAGCAUACAUGCUGGGACCCGAAAGAUGGUGAACUAUGCCUGAGCAGGGCGAAGUCAGAGGAAACUCUGAUGGAGGCUCGUAGCGAUACUGACGUGCAAAUCGUUCGUCAUAUUUGGGUAUAGGGGCGAAAGACUAAUCGAACCAUCGAGUAGCUGGUUCCCUCCGAAAUUUCCCUUAGGAUAGCUGCAACUUGUACAGUUUUAUCAGGUAAAGCGAAUGAUUAGAGGCUCGGGGGACGGAAUGUCCUUCACCUAUUCUCAAACUUUAAAUGGGUAAGAGCCCGGGGUUGCCUGAUCGAACCCCGGCGUCGAAUGUCGGUUGCUAGUGGGCCAUUCCGGGUAAGCUGGACUGGCGAUGCGGGAUGAUCCGAACGCCGAGUUAAAGUGCCUCACUGCCCGCUCACCUAGAUCCCACAAAAGG